rnacentral:lncRNA from 1 species
GGCUCUUAGAGCCCUGAUGUUGUCCUCUCCUGUGUCCCUACCACAGCUCCUUUUGAUUACACAGCAGAGCUGCUGCCCUCCUGGGAGCCUCCGCACAGGCAGUUUUUCCCCCCAGAAUUGACGCUCCUUAUGCUUUUGGAUGUGAGAGACCAGGGUGAAAAUAGAUCCCAUGUCCUUCAUAGCUGAACAGAUUUCCUGGCUAAGAGGAGCAGCUGGUGAGAGCAGUCACAACCCAGCUCCCUGGGCUACAUGAGACGGGGGGACAGGAGGUUCUCAAGGAUUUCACAAGCUCCUGUGAUCUGCCAUGUGCGGAUCACCCCGAUGUCGGAGAAAUUAGUCUGCAGGUCCAGGAAGCACGUAAACAUCAUAUGAGGAUCACACCUGAAUUGGGGGAAAUUCUGAAGAACGAGUGUGUCAGCAGACAGGCAGGCUUGGCUGCAAUCCAGGAGGAAGGAUGGAAAGUCAACAAACAAAAGGUUCAAUUAGUGCAACAAGAGCUUUCAACAUCCUCAAAGGCAUCUAAUUGUUCAGGACAUACUGAGUAUCUGCACUUACAGAAAUCAAGCCUUGAGUGGAACUCCCCUGAAAGCAAGGCACCGGGAAGCCAAGAUUAGUUUUCAGAAACUACCAUCACAGAUGGCUUCCUGCAAUACAAAGAGGGCUCCUGGCAAGGCAGUGUGCUGGAUAACAUUAGAGUUGGAUGUGGUGGAAGUAUUACCUCACAGAGACACCCAUUCACCAGCGUUUCUUUCAUUGUGUUCAGCACAGUAGAUCCCAGCAGCUACUCUGCGCUCACGUACAAAUCUCUCUUGCAUGACUCUUGCCUAACAGUCGUCUGCGACCAGGUGGUCUCUCUGAGAAGUGGUUGUGCUGCAGCGAGGAAAAAAUGUAUCCUUUUCUUUUUUUUUUUUUCCCUUCCUUUUUAAAAAAAAUAAUAUAUAUAUUUCUGUAGCAAAGUGGAGGAGGUGCUGCAAGGGUAUUAGAGGCUCCCUGGGGAGCACGGGCAGCAGCAGAGCACCCUCCCUGUGCUCUGGGCACCAUAUUGCUGGGGAGAGGAUGCACAUAGCUCCGAUGCCUAUAAAUACCUUGUAGCUUUUCUGUACGUGAUGCAAAUGUUGUUCUAGAAAGAGCCUAAAAGCAAAUUGUCUAGUAUUGACCACACAAUGUUGCAGCCAGGUAGGACAGAAUAUGUAGCAGGGGACGUUUUAAUGCAUCAGAUUAAAAAACCUGUACGAAUCUUGGCUGAGUCCAGGUUCCCCAAGAGCCACUGUGAAUUUGGGACAAAUUUCAGCUCAAGCAGAAGGUUGGCUAAUCAUUAAAAUACAGCACACGGGUUAUCUGGCUCUUAGGCUCAGACCUUUAAAAGUAUUUUAAUACUCAUCGUACGUUAAGCGCUAAAAGGGCUUGACCAAACUUGGCAUUAGUUACCAGCAGCUCUUGAAAGGAGAAAAGAAUUCAUGGCAGUAAAAGAGCGAGGCCUUCUCGGUGACGUUACUUACACUGGAAAUUGGUGGAUCACAUUGAGCUGUGAGUGACAAGUUCUCAAAGUUGUGGUUUCUCAUAGCAACUGUCAUCAUUCCCCAUUUGCCCAGUUCCACCAGUCUGGCUCGCAGAGAUGCCGUGG